AGUGGCGAACGGGUGAGUAACACGUGAGUAACCUGCCCUUGACUCUGGGAUAAGCCUGGGAAACUGGGUCUAAUACCGGAUAUGACUGACCGUCGCAUGGUGGUUGGUGGAAAGCUUUUGUGGUUUUGGAUGGACUCGCGGCCUAUCAGCUUGUUGGUGGGGUAAUGGCCUACCAAGGCGACGACGGGUAGCCGGCCUGAGAGGGUGACCGGCCACACUGGGACUGAGACACGGCCCAGACUCCUACGGGAGGCAGCAGUGGGGAAUAUUGCACAAUGGGCGCAAGCCUGAUGCAGCGACGCCGCGUGAGGGAUGACGGCCUUCGGGUUGUAAACCUCUUUCAGUAGGGAAGAAGCCACAAGGUGACGGUACCUGCAGAAGAAGCGCCGGCUAACUACGUGCCAGCAGCCGCGGUAAUACGUAGGGCGCAAGCGUUAUCCGGAAUUAUUGGGCGUAAAGAGCUCGUAGGCGGUUUGUCGCGUCUGCCGUGAAAGUCCGGGGGCUCAACUCCGGAUCUGCGGUGGGUACGGGCAGACUAGAGUGAUGUAGGGGAGACUGGAAUUCCUGGUGUAGCGGUGAAAUGCGCAGAUAUCAGGAGGAACACCGAUGGCGAAGGCAGGUCUCUGGGCAUUAACUGACGCUGAGGAGCGAAAGCAUGGGGAGCGAACAGGAUUAGAUACCCUGGUAGUCCAUGCCGUAAACGUUGGGCACUAGGUGUGGGGGACAUUCCACGUUUUCCGCGCCGUAGCUAACGCAUUAAGUGCCCCGCCUGGGGAGUACGGCCGCAAGGCUAAAACUCAAAGGAAUUGACGGGGGCCCGCACAAGCGGCGGAGCAUGCGGAUUAAUUCGAUGCAACGCGAAGAACCUUACCAAGGCUUGACAUGAACCGGAAAGACCUGGAAACAGGUCCCCCACUUGUGGUCGGUUUACAGGUGGUGCAUGGUUGUCGUCAGCUCGUGUCGUGAGAUGUUGGGUUAAGUCCCGCAACGAGCGCAACCCUCGUUCUAUGUUGCCAGCACGUGAUGGUGGGGACUCAUAGGAGACUGCCGGGGUCAACUCGGAGGAAGGUGGGGACGACGUCAAAUCAUCAUGCCCCUUAUGUCUUGGGCUUCACGCAUGCUACAAUGGCCGGUACAAAGGGUUGCGAUACUGUGAGGUGGAGCUAAUCCCAAAAAGCCGGUCUCAGUUCGGAUUGGGGUCUGCAACUCGACCCCAUGAAGUCGGAGUCGCUAGUAAUCGCAGAUCAGCAACGCUGCGGUGAAUACGUUCCCGGGCCUUGUACACACCGCCCGUCAAGUCACGAAAGUUGGUAACACCCGAAGCCGGUG
rnacentral:rRNA from 2 species